UUUUCAGACCUAUGCAAGGUUAUUUUCUGGCAACGCUUCAGGGUGGGAACACAGCAGAGCACUGGAUUUUGGCUUGUGCCGUAGGUAUCUGAAGAGGG
rnacentral:SRP_RNA from 1 species